rnacentral:rRNA from 1 species
AACGAACGCUGGCGGCAUGCCUAACACAUGCAAGUCGAACGAGACCUUCGGGUCUAGUGGCGCACGGGUGCGUAACGCGUGGGAAUCUGCCCUUGGGUUCGGAAUAACAGUUGGAAACGACUGCUAAUACCGGAUGAUGACGUAAGUCCAAAGAUUUAUCGCCCCAGGAUGAGCCUGCGUAGGAUUAGCUAGUUGGUGAGGUAAAGGCUCACCAAGGCGACGAUCCUUAGCUGGUCUGAUAGGAUGAUCAGCCACACUGGGACUGGGACACGGCCCAGACUCCUACGGGGGGCAGCAGUGGGGAAUAUUAGACGAUGGGCGAUAGCCUGAUCCAGCAGUGCCGCGUGAGUGAUGAAGGCCUUAGGAUUGUAAAGCUCUUUUACCCGGGAUGAUAAUGACAGUACCGGGAGAAUAAGCUCCGGCUAACUCCGUG